rnacentral:lncRNA from 1 species
ACUCACGGAGCGCUCUCGGAGCAGCGGUUCCUCGGAGCCCGCAGACCAGUCCCAGCAACAGCGGCUCUCCGGCGGUGCUGACCAGUCGUCACGGAAUUCUCCGAGGAAGCCCGCGAUCGGGCUCCGCAGCCCGGCCUCCGACAACUGUCCCCUCCUCCGCUGUGAGGGGGAGGGGGACGCUAGGCAGCCGCGGCUAGCGCUCGCCCAACUUCAGCCGCCUGUGCGAAAUGAGGAGGAAAUAGCUUACACCAGAUGGUUAUUUGCCACUUGAACUGGAGAGGAGGAGAGGUUGCAUCUACAACCGCCUUUAAUGUGCCCAAUCUUGUCUGAUCUCAGAAGCUAAGCAGGCCAGCCAAGGUUGCUUGACAGAAGGCUGUGAAAGAAUGAGACUGCUAAGUAAGACCAGAGGGAGAAGACACUCAAAGGCAAGCGGUGUCACUGAAUGGAGACAGUUGGAUUUUUAGGACAUUGCUGCAUGGGCACUGGGCCCUUCCAUAUCUGAAAGACUCAGAACUCCACACACGACAUUUAUGGGACCCCCUCUGCCACAGCCACUGUGCUCUAUGCCAGUAAAUACACUGAGCUAUUACAUAUUUUUGUUGGUAGUGGUGUUGGUGGUUUAUUUGUUGUGUUUAUUAUAUCUGAGCCAAUCAAAGAAAUGUAAUAAACAAUAAUUUCUUAA